rnacentral:rRNA from 1 species
UUACGCUGUUAUCCCUAAAGGUAUUUAUUUUAUUAUUCUAAAUUUUAGGAUUAAAAAUUCAUUAAUUUAUGUAAUAUUUAUUUAAAAGUUUAUUUAAUUAUAAAAUUACCCCAAUUAAAUAUUAAUUUAAAUUUUUAAUUUAAAUUAAAUAAUUUUAAUUUAAAUUAAUAUAAAAUUCUAUAGGGUCUUCUCGUCUUUUAAUUAUAUUUAAGAAUUUUAACUUAAAAUUUAAAUUAAAUUUAUUUUUUUUAUAAAGAUUAUAUUUCAUUAAAUCUUUCAUUCUAGUUUUCAAUUAAAAAACUAAUUAUUAUGCUACCUUUGUACAGUUAUUAAUACUGCAGCCAUUAAAAAUUUUUCAUUGGGCAGAUUUGACUUAAAAUUAUUUUCAAUAAGACAUGUUUUUGUUAAACAGGCG